UACGAGGGGGGCGAGCGUUGUUCGGAAUUAUUGGGCGUAAAGGGUGCGUAGGCGGUUCCGCAAGUCCUGUGUGAAAUCUUCGGGCUCAACUCGAAGUCUGCACGGGAAACUGCGGGGCUUGAGUGUGGGAGAGGUGAGUGGAAUUCCCGGUGUAGCGGUGAAAUGCGUAGAUAUGUGGAGGAAUACCGAUGGCGAAGGCAGCCCCCCUGGGAUAACACUGACGCUCAUGCACGAAAGCGUGGGGAGCAAACAGG
rnacentral:rRNA from 1 species